UACAUUCCCCUACUACUGAG
rnacentral:misc_RNA from 1 species